AAAUGAAACAAUGAGUGAUACACUAUAAUGAUUUUUGAGCUCAAACUGUUUUGUGUGCUUGUCUUUGUGACUUCAGGGAAUGCUCAUGGUGGGGAUAGUGGUGUGGAGUUGAAUUUCCCAGAAGGGAUGGAGGGGCCAGUGAAAGUGAAGGUUUUCACAUUUCCAGAAAAUUUAGCUUCUUCCGAAGAGGAAGAAGGGUGAACUAUAACUUAGCUCACCCAGUUGCUGUGGUGAGGCAGCUUAUUCUUUAGCUUGGAAGUUUAUUUUUUGUGUGUGCUUUUGUUUGCUGACGACAUUAUACUAGCUGAAAUCAUUGUUUGUUGACGGGCAACAUAGGAAAUGAUAAUGGGUUUCAAAUCAAAAUUAAGAGAGAAGGGGAUGAGGGAGAUUUUCAAGUUUCCUAUGAGUGUACUAAUUUUCUAACUCGUAUCUUUAUACUUUUUAUUUACAACUUCCCUUUUUUUUUUUUUUACUAAUUUUAAUGCUAGCUUUUGAAAGGAUAUAUGUAUAACUAAAGGGGAGUGACGAGAUUAAAUGUCAUGAAAAAUAUGACGAUGAUAAUUUUAAAAUGUGUAUAGGCUUCAUUCUUUCAUCUUAUAUUGCUUAGGCUAUGAGCCUGUUUGAAUUGACUUAUUUGAACUUAUCUACUCUACUGACAUAAGCACUUGUGAUACAGUUUGGGAGAACUAUGAAAACAGCUUAUGACAUGUUCAUAAGCUGUUUUCAGCUUAUUUUCAUAAGCUCUCCAAGAUAGCUUAUGAAAACAGCUUAUAGCUUAUAUGGAAACAAUUUAUCUUUAUUUUAUCUUGUGUUAUAAAAAUAGGUUAUACACAAGCGCUUAUGCUAUAAGUUGUAAAUUAAGCGGCUUGGAUAAACAGGCCCUAUGUCCCUCCUUUUUUAGUUACUAUGUAAACUAAUGGUAACCAGGAGAAGAAUCCAGUUCCUCUAUAGUGAACUAAAUUUUAGAUAUGCUAAAAUAUUAGCUUUUGAUUUUCUCAUCAACAGUCAAAUAUAUUAUCCUUUAAAGUAUAAAGUGAUAGUUCACUCUAGAGGAGUCAAAUCCCUUUCUCCAAUAAACCUUGAGCGCUUAUUUGAGUCGCAUUGCUCAUCUAACAUGGGUUUUAGAAACUUUUUGAAGGAAAAGAAACUCCCCAUACUUUCGGUAGCAUAUAACACCUAAAGAGUAUUACUUGUGAUUAUAUAACCCGAAGGUAACAAACAUCCUUAGCAGGUUGAAGUUCCCGAUAAAGCAUAGUUUGAUACAUAAACUUUAUAAGAUUUAAAUUUGUUAAAAACAAAUGUAAAGAUAAAAUCCAUAAACAAGGAAAGAUUUCAAAAUCCUAAAUUAUGAACAAAUUCUCAGGUCAAAAACAACCCAAACGCUCCUAAUCUAUUAUGUGUCACUGUGUCCUCCUUUCUUUGCAAUUUAAUUUUACUACUCAAUUUUGUGAAUGGUGCUUUUAUUUACUAACUUGGAUCACAUUUGCUAAAUCUUAUAAAAAACAAUCCUAGUCCCAUUAUACACAAUUGUAUAUGGUUAUCUUCAUGUAUCCACAGAAAUACUAGUUACUACUAGUACAGUAAUUUUGUAUUAUAGGACAACAGAAAUAUGUGUUAUCAAUCUUAGCAGACGUGUCUAUUGACAUUACAAGUCUUUCUGUAAAUUUACAAAUGUUAGCAGUAAAGGUGUUGUAUUGUAUUUCUUUUUCCAAACUACUGUGAAAUGAUUCUAAGUUUGAUGGCAGAUAAAAGUGUGCCUAUUUUAUCAUGAAUGUCUUGGGAAAUAUAAGCUAGAUAAAAUACAAUACUAUAAGAAACUGAAAAAGUGUUAACAACUGCAUUGUGUCAAAUGUAAUGUUUACAAGAUUGUGUUAUCAAUAUUUCUGUUUUCAAGCAUAUUUCAAAUUUCAUUAUGUCUAAUUUUUUGUUUUGGAAACUGGUUACAACUCAAAAUGAAAGAGAUCUAUAGUUUUUGGUGAUCAUAUGAUUUUUCUGUUCAGAUUGUUGCAUUAUAUAUUGAGUAUGAUUUACAUAUUUGCAUGUCCAUCUAUAUAAUACCAUCCUAAGCACUAAUUAUGUAGGAUUUUCAUGGUGCAGCCUAAGCUCGACGAGAAGUCCAAAAAAAGUGAGGAAACAAAAAACUAAGCUAUUUGGAGUUUGAGAAGGGCGAUGCAAGCAAAUGGAAAUUUCUGCAGAUGCAAGCACUGGUGAUAGUUCUGGAAUUAACCUUCUCACUCUACAUGGUCUCGACUUUGAUCUGUUUAAUCAGUAUAUGUUGAAUAUUUGCAAUGUUGUUAUUAUGUUGAAUCAUUGUAGGGUGAAAUGUAUGUAUUUUAUGGAACUAAUAAAGUUAAAGCUUGAUGGAGUAUUUCUCGGAACUAGCAAGCACACCCUCAGUUUAGUGCAUAUAUUAUGUUGUAAAUAUAUCUAUUACUAAUAAACAUUUCUUUGGUUACUCGUUCCUACAAUUGAUUGACUUACACUAUUUUUAGAUAGGGUGUAUGUGUGUUAAGGAGUUAGUUUUCCAUUGAAAGGAUAUACAGAAAGCAAACAUGUUUGGUUAA
rnacentral:lncRNA from 1 species